rnacentral:rRNA from 1 species
UACGGGGGGGUGCGAGCGUUGUCCGGAAUCACUGGGCGUAAAGGGCGCGUAGGUGGUUUGAUAAGGGUGUGGUGAAAGCCCGGGGCUCAACCCCGGGUCUGCCGUGCCGACUGUCAAACUCGAGGGCUGUAGAGGCAGACGGAAUUCCGGGUGUAGCGGUGGAAUGCGCAGAUAUCAGGAGGAACACCGGUGGCGAAGGCGGGUCUCUGGGCCGAAACUGACGCUGAGGAGCGAAAGCGUGGGGAGCAAACAGG